AUACGGAGGGUGCGAGCGUUACUCGGAAUAACUGGGCGUAAAGCGCACGUAGGCGGAAUGUUAAGUUAGAGGUGAAAUCCCAGGGCUCAACCCUGGAACGGCCUUUAAUACUGGCAAUCUAGAGACCGAGAGAGGUGAGUGGAAUUCCGAGUGUAGAGGUGAAAUUCGUAGAUAUUCGGAGGAACACCAGUGGCGAAGGCGGCUCACUGGCUCGGUACUGACGCUGAGGUGCGAAAGCGUGGGGAGCAAACAGGAUUAGAAACCCUAGUAGUCC
rnacentral:rRNA from 1 species